rnacentral:SRP_RNA from 4 species
AUAUCGAAGUACGGCAAUGAGAAGCUUAUGAACCGAGUCAGAUCCGGAAGGAAGCAGCUAUAAAUAGGAUUUCUCAUGUGCUGUACUUUUUUGCGGAAAC